rnacentral:rRNA from 1 species
UACAGAGGUCUCAAGCGUUGUUCGGAUUCAUUGGGCGUAAAGGGUGCGUAGGCGGCAAGGCAAGUCAGGUGUGAAAUCCCGGAGCUCAACUCCGGAACUGCACUUGAUACUGCCCUGCUAGAGUACUGGAGAGGAGACUGGAAUUUACGGUGUAGCAGUGAAAUGCGUAGAUAUCGUAAGGAAGACCAGUGGCGAAGGCGAGUCUCUGGACAGUUACUGACGCUGAGGCCCGAAGGCCAGGGGAGCAAACGGG